rnacentral:lncRNA from 1 species
GUAAAAGAACACAUUCAGAUGUGGCCAUUAUUUAUUUUUGAUGCUCAGAAUAUAACAGAGACAGUACAUUGAUUCACAGAUCAUGAAACAUUAAGAAAGAUUCACUAGUGUUACUGAGGCAAAUUUUAGAGCUAAAUAUGCAAACUCUACUGAGAAUGGAUCAGACUUUAUAAUCACUUAUAUGUUAGGCUUCUGUCUUUAAGUUGGCGUCUUUGGCCCCCAAUCUAUUUUCAUUAGGUUCUUCACGCCCCCUUCAGCUGCCUCCAUAUCUUUGUUUCGGUCCUGUUCCUGUUCAAAUAUUCAGGUUCAAAUAAUUAUCAGUACUUCAUUACUGCAAUAUAUAAACACUCAGAAUUCUAGCUAAAUUUUUCUUAAAACCAAGUUUUAAACCUGAGUGUUCACGUGAUGCUGGUGUCCUGCAGCAGGAGCUUUUGAAGCAUGAUGAUCUGAAACAAGCAAUAUCCAAAUAUUGUUCUUAAUUUUAUGCAGUGUUCACCUUCUCAAUAUUAUCAGCUUCAAGAAUUAUUGUCAUGUGAGAAGAAUUUUAGUUGUACAAAAUGUUCCUUUUCAAAAAAUCAGAAGGACAAUUUUUUACAAAGACAAAUGUUCUCAAGCUAACAUUGUUUUUACAUGAGGGCAAUCCACAAAUAAUUUAGCCAUGGUUCUCAGAUAAACAAUUGGAAAUAUGGAAAAACUCAUCUAGCUUGAACUAUAUACUAUGUUUUCCUCAUUGUGGCGUGUGUGUUUAAAUACAACGAAGAAAGCUUUACUGUCUUACCCAGAUCAACAUGUGCAGAAGAGUCCCUCAAAGCAUGGAAGACUAAAAGAAGGCACAACAGUAAACUUGCGAGCUUGACAAAUGCCAUUUCUAAAAUAUUUA